AAAUGCUUUCUGGGGCCAGUUGGUGCAUGGUCUGACAAAAAUUUGAAGGCACAAAGAAAUGAGGACAAGAAAUACAGAACUGGUGCCAUGUCUACACUGUCACGGUGCCAGGCAUCAAACACUCUUCCCCUUAUUCUCCACAUCUCUUUCCUGCUGCUUUGUUCCUCUGCAGCACGCUCUGGAGGCAGGAUUAUGAUUGAAGAGGGUGAGGGCUCGCUGAGCAGUGUGAGACAUUCAGGCACAUGCAGGUAGUGGAUGCUGUGAGCUGCACAUUCUUGCUUCAGCAUGACAGACGAAACGUCAUGGUGGCUGACACGUUGGGCUACGCAUCAUCGUGUAUGGGAGUUUCCAUAAUGAGUGGCUAGACUUUUCAAAUUCCCAGUGUCCAGUGCAGCUUUUGAGAAUGCUAAGAUUAUGUAUUGCCCCUCGAAAAGAAAAGUGAUACGCAAGGAGCUUGCAGGAAAUAGUAAACACAGCGCCAACGACGCAGUACGUGACUGAAGUGUAUUAGAAAACUCAUUGCAAACAACGUGAUGACGUCAACUCGGCAUGGAACAGUGUCCAGCUUCUGCGGCGAUGGGCCAUCAUUGCACAAAGAGAGACACCAUUCGCUCAAGCUGUUUCGUCUUUUGGCUGAAGAGGGUGUGAUGGCCGCUGUGGAGAAGAACCCUGUCUGGUUUCCCUUGCUGCACCAGGCCAUCAUGAGUGACGUAGUGCUCCAGAUUUGAGCGCAUUAAAGCCCCAGGACGUCA